rnacentral:rRNA from 1 species
AAGAAACCAACUGGGAUUACCUUAGUAACGGCGAGUGAAGCGGUAAAAGCUCAAAUUUGAAAUCUGGUACUUUCAGUGCCCGAGUUGUAAUUUGUAGAAUUUGUCUUUGAUUAGGUCCUUGUCUAUGUUCCUUGGAACAGGACGUCAUAGAGGGUGAGAAUCCCGUUUGGCGAGGAUACCUUUUCUCUGUAAGACUUUUUCGAAGAGUCGAGUUGUUUGGGAAUGCAGCUCAAAGUGGGUGGUAAAUUCCAUCUAAAGCUAAAUAUUGGCGAGAGACCGAUAGCGAACAAGUACAGUGAUGGAAAGAUGAAAAGAACUUUGAAAAGAGAGUGAAAAAGUACGUGAAAUUGUUGAAAGGGAAGGGCAUUUGAUCAGACAUGGUGUUUUUUGCAUGCACUCGCCUCUCGUGGGCUUGGGCCUCUCAAAAAUUUCACUGGGCCAACAUCAAUUCUGGCAGCAGGAUAAAUCAUUAAGAAUGUAGCUACUUCGGUAGUGUUAUAGCUUUUUGGAAUACUGUUAGCCGGGAUUGAGGACUGCGCUUCGGCAAGGAUGUUGGCAUAAUGGUUAAAUGCCGCCCG